rnacentral:rRNA from 1 species
AGGCCAGACUCCUACGGGAGGCAGCAGUGGGGAAUAUUGGGCAAUGGGCGCAAGCCUGACCCAGCAACGCCGCGUGAAGGAAGAAGGCUUUCGGGUUGUAAACUUCUUUUAAGAGGGACGAAGGAAGUGACGGUACCUCUUGAAUAAGCCACGGCUAACUACGUGCCAGCAGCCGCGGUAAUACGUAGGUGGCAAGCGUUAAUCGGAAUUACUGGGCGUAAAGCGCUCGUAGGCGGUAUGUCAAGUCAAGGGUGAAAUCCCCGCGCUCAACGUGGGAACUGCCUUUGAAACUGGCAAACUGGAGUGUGUGAGAGGAUAGUGGAAUUCCAGGUGUAGGAGUGAAAUCCGUAGAUAUCUGGAGGAACAUCAGUGGCGAAGGCGACUAUCUGGCACAUAACUGACGCUGAGGAGCGAAAGCGUGGGUAGCAAACAGGAUUAGAUACCCGUGUA